UGGGAGUGUCACUGUCACCUUCUGUCAUUGUCACCCCUGUGUCACCUCUGUGUCACCCUGUGUCACCCCUGUGUCACCCUGGGAGUGUCACUGUCAUCCCCUGUGUCACCCCUGUGUCACCCUUGGGACCCUGGGAGUGUCACUGUCACUCCUGUGUCACCCCUGUGUCACCCUGGGAUUGUCACUGUCACCCCUGGGAUUGUCACUGUCACCCCUGUGUCACCCUGGGAGUGUCACUGUCACCCCUGGGUCACCCUGGGAGUGUCACUGUCACCUUCUGUGUCACCCUUGGGACCCCGGGAUUGUCACUGUCACCCCUGUGUCACCCCUGUGUCACCCUUGGGACCCCAAAAUUGUCACUGUCACCCUUGUGUCACCUCUGUGUCACCCCUGGGACCCCAAGAUUGUCACUGUCACCCCCUGUGUCACCCCAGGAUUGUCAUUGUUACCCCUGUGUCACCCUUGGGACCCCUUUGGGACCCCAGGAUUGUCACUGUCACCCCCUGUGUCAUCCUGGGAGUGUCACUGUCACCCUUUGUGUCACCUCCUGUGUCACCUCUGUGUCAUUCCCUGUGUUAUCCUCUGUGUCACCCUGAGAGUGUCAUUGUCACCCUUGUGUCACCCCUGUGUCACCCCUGUGUCACCCCUGUGUCACCCUGGGAGUGUCACUGUCACCCGUGUGUCACCCCUGUGUCACCCUGUGUCACCUUUGGGACCCCAGGAUUGUCACUGUCACCCCUGUGUCACCUCUGUGUCACCUGUGUCACCCCUGUGUCACCCUGAGAUUGUCAUUGUCAGCCCUGUGUCACUAGGAUUGUUACUGUCACCCCCUGUGUCACCCUGGGAGUGUCAUUGUCACCCCUGUGUCACCCCGGGAUUGUCAUUGUCACUGUCACCCGUGUGUCACCUCUGUGUCACCCCCCUGUCACCCCGAGAUUGUCACUGUCACUCCUGUGUCACCCCGGGAGUGUCACUGUCACCCGUGUGUCACCCUGGGAUUGUCACUGUCACCUUCUGUCAUUGUCACCCCUGUGUCACCCCUGUGUCACCCCGGGAUUGUCACUGUCACCCCUGUGUCACCCCGGCAUUGUCAUUGUCACUGUCACCCUUGUGUCACCUCUGUGUCACCCCUGUGUCACCCCAGGAUUGUCACUGUCACCCCCUGUGUCACCCUGGGAGUGUCACUGUCACCCCUGUGUCACCCAUGUGUCACCCUGGGAGUGUCACUGUCACCCCUGUGUCACCCCUGGGACCCCAGGAUUGUCACUGUCACCCCUGUGUCACCUCAGGGCCACCCUGCAAUGAGUCAGGGACCCCCAAGGGCCCCCCAGAUACUCUUGGGAACCCCUGGAAUGAGUCAGGGACCCCCAAAUUCCCCCCAGACCCCCUUGAGACCCCCAAAU
rnacentral:lncRNA from 1 species